rnacentral:rRNA from 1 species
AAGCUCGCGAGAGUAAGCUAAUCUCUUAAAGCCGUUCUCAGUUCGGACUGUAGGCUGCAACUCGCCUGCAUGAAGUCGGAAUUGCUAGUAAUCGUAGGUCAGCAUACUACGGUGAAUACGUUCCCGGGCCUUGUACACACCGCCCGUCAAACCAUGAGAGUUGGCAACACCCGAAGUCGGUAGUCUAACCGCAAGGAGGACGCCGCCGAAGGUGGGGUUGAUGAUUAGGGUUAAGUCGUAACAAGGUACC